AGGCCGAAAGGCGUAGUCGAUGGGAAACGGGUUAAUAUUCCCGUACUUGGUGUUACUGCGAAGGGGGGACGGAGAAGGCUAUGUUGGCCGGGCGACGGUUGUCCCGGUUUAAGCGUGUAGGUGUGUGUUCCAGGUAAAUCCGGUUCACUUUAACACUGAGGCGUGACGACGAGGCACUACGGUGCUGAAGCAACAAAUGCCCUGCUUCCAGGAAAAGCCUCUAAGCAUCAGGUAACAUCAAAUCGUACCCCAAACCGACACAGGUGGUCAGGUAGAGAAUACCAAGGCGCUUGAGAGAACUCGGGUGAAGGAACUAGGCAAAAUGGUGCCGUAACUUCGGGAGAAGGCACGCUGACAC
rnacentral:rRNA from 1 species